rnacentral:lncRNA from 1 species
AGGCGGGCACCCGCGCAAGUGCGGCCUGGGCCCAGGCGGCACACGCGGGAGCAGGCGCACACGACCGCAUGUGGGUGUCCAACAAUAUCCCAAUCCAUGAUGGAUCGGGCUGUGCAUGAGUGGGCGCAUGGAUCGGGCGCCUGUUUUCCAUAGGUUUCUCAUGGUCCAUGAUGGAUCGGAGGUUUUACAGAGCCAAUUCCCGCAGUCCACGAUGGGUUCUCAUGGAUCGGUG